rnacentral:rRNA from 1 species
UGGGGAGUAUUGCACAAUGGGCGCAAGCCUGAUGCAGCCAUGCCGCGUGUGUGAAGAAGGCCUUCGGGUUGUAAAGCACUUUCAGCGAGGAGGAAGGUGGUGAGCUUAAUACGCUCAUCAAUUGACGUUACUCGCAGAAGAAGCACCGGCUAACUCCGUGCCAGCAGCCGCGGUAAUACGGAGGGUGCAAGCGUUAAUCGGAAUUACUGGGCGUAAAGCGCACGCAGGCGGUUUGUUAAGUCAGAUGUGAAAUCCCCGGGCUCAACCUGGGAACUGCAUUUGAAACUGGCAAGCUAGAGUCUCGUAGAGGGGGGUAGAAUUCCAGGUGUAGCGGUGAAAUGCGUAGAGAUCUGGAGGAAUACCGGUGGCGAAGGCGGCCCCCUGGACGAAGACUGACGCUCAGGUGCGAAAGCGUGGGGCAGCAAACAGGAUUAGAUACCCUGGUAGUCCAGCGCUGUAAACGAUGUCGAUUUUGGAGGUUGUGCCCUUGAGGCGUGGCUUCCGGAGCUAACGCGUUAAAGUCGACCGCCUGGGGAGUACGGCCGCAAGGUUAAAACUCAAAUGAAUUGAC